AUUCGACGUGCACGCGCAGGGACAAGCAGGCACGUACCCGUUUGUGAGACUGUCUGGAGUCUGUCUGAAAUUGAUAAAAUUGGAGUUUUGCUUCUGUUUGAACGUUUAGGAGGAAGCCGCCCGCUGGAAUUGGGAUUUUUUUUGUGCACCACCUCAAACGCCUUCGCCCACGAGACGCCAGGCUCAGCCAAAAUAUUUUUAGAUAAACGGUGUGAAAGUUUUUUUCCUUCUGCAGUCUCUCAGCAGACGGCUCUUUAUGUACAGGCUCUGCAGGGGAGCAGGCAUCAGCCCUGGAGUUCAAGAGGAGUGCACCAUCCAGUAUGCAGGCUGCACCAGCUCAGAAAAGGUGUGUCCCAAACCAGUUCCAGUGCCUGAAAAAAUGAUCCAAAUGUACAAUUAGAAAGGUGAUCCUUGGAUUCAUACAGCCUGUCAUACCCUCUUGUCUUCGAUGCUUCAGUGUGUCUGCUCUUAUGGUCUGGCCUCCACUUCAUAACAACUCCAUUGCAAGGCAUCCCACAUCCAAACUGCAGGGAGGAGAAUUUUAAGUGCAGAGAGCCGCUGGUGAAACUAGGAAGGAAGAUGUCAUGCUAAGGAUGGGUUUUGGUGAUGAUGUUGCUACUGUUGAUGCAGCAUCGAGCUCUCACUUUGUGCCUCUGUCAGCUAUGAUGCGUAACCACAAAGUGAGUGACAGGCCAGUCCCCAGGGAGAGCAGGGGGCCUGAGCUUUUUGUUCCAGGAGAAUGUGCCCAUGCAUGCAGCCUUUUCCAGCUUCAGCUAUUGUUCAUGCAUUGGUGUCCCUAUCUGAACUUCAGGGAGCUCUCCUGCCUGUGAAUAUUUUGAUGAAGGUUCCUAUUGAUGCACUGAAUGAAGGACCAAAACAACAAGGGUGUGUCCCCCUCCCCUCCUCUCCCCUCCCUCUCUCUCUCCUUUUGACUCUCAUUUCUGCCCUGCGAUAGAAGCCCAGGCCCUUUUCAGAAGCGGCGAGGAAGACUGACCGUCGUGGAGACAGUGCUGGGAGCAGCCCUAUCUGCUCCAAUGCUAGUCACUGGCCGUUAGACAUGGCGUUCAAAGACUAGCGGUGCAAGUAUGGAAAUGCAGAUCAGGCAUUGUUGGGGAAACAUGCCUGGGAAUUGUUCAAGGCUUUCCCUUGCAUAAUGUUUGGAUGCUUUUGCAAAUGUUUUAAUCUCAAAACCCAUGAAUUUGAUCCUCCAUGAAUGUGAUCCUGAAUGAGUGGGCGUCUGCAUGGAAAGGAUUGUCAUGCUGUGCAAAAUAAUGUUUGUGAUUACAUUUGUGAGUGUUUGACAUCUGGCAGCAUCUAUUUGAAAGUAUCAUUGUAUGUGUUCCUCUUUUUUGGACAAUUUUAGCCAUUAAGGCAUUUCUUUUGAUAAUUUAUUAUUCCUGUAGAAGCUAAGGAUUGAUUGAGGAUCACGUGAAAAAAAAUGGACUCUUGUUUGACAAAACGCUGCAACAAACUUGUUUGUGUAUAAUAUUCAAGGUUUAUUUACUCUUCUUUUGCAGUUUUCAGGAGGCAGUUAAUUACACAAUUAAUACAUGAUACAAAUUAUGUACAUUUAUACCAAAGAAUACUUCAACAUAAAAUA